GCGCUGCUCCCCUUUCAGUAGUAAGUAAUGCAAGUUCAUACACAAUAGUUAAUACACAAGGUCAUACAGAAAAUCAUAUAAGGAGGCGGCGACUUGAAGGACGUGGACUGGGAGACUAGGCCGCGGUCCCGUCUACGUGACGCCGGCGAAGACGAGACGCCCAGGAUCGCACGGCGAUCCGCUUCUGGACGCGCCCAGAAUCCAACUUCGCGCCCAGAAUCCCGGGAUUGCAAGUUUAUACUCAAUAAUCGCUCACUACCUGUGUUGAAAACAUACAUACAUAAUCUCAAUUUCAUACUCAGAAUAGGGAUCCAACAGAAUCUAUAAUGACUAUCUUUGCUGUAGCAUGAUAGGCCAAACAGACGUUCUGAAACUGCAUAUUUGAGUUGGUUGCUUCUACUUUGUGUUGGUCAAUGUCGGCAAUCUUAGUGUACAUAUACAUUAAGCACACGUCUUCCUUUCCUGGAGCAUGGUAUGCCAGACACCAUUUCUGAAAUCUGCAACAUAAUCGCUUAGGACCUGUUUACACAAGUUGCUGUACAUUUUUAUGACCCAUUCCAGCAAGAUCCGGUUACUGUACAUGUUUGCAUAACUUAGAGUGUUGCUUUUACUUACUUUGAUUGCUGGGUGUGUUGCUUGUUCUUCUAACUUUGCACGGGCCAAGAAGCAGCCUUUCCAAUAAGCAUACUCCAUUACAUCCAACAAUUUAGGGGCUGGAAGUACUAUUCCCUCAGAACAUGACUGGUUACGGAAAACCUCCCAAUAAGGAGACCAGGACUGUUGUAUACCUGCUACAACGGAAGUAAACAUAACAAAAUAAGAUCAUGAAGAUGGGAGACAACUUCAGUUCACAAGCUAUUGUUAAUAUUACUAGAUCAUUGAUGGUGCGCGUUGCCGCGCCCAUCUAUUUUGACAAUAAAAUGGUAUGUA
rnacentral:lncRNA from 1 species